UACGAAGUUAGCCGGGGCUUCUUCUCCGACUACCGUCAUUAUCUUCAUCGGUGAAAGAGCUUUACAACCCUAAGGCCUUCAUCACUCACGCGGCAUGGCUGGAUCAGGCUUGCGCCCAUUGUCCAAUAUUCCCCACUGCUGCCUCCCGUAGGAGUUUGGGCCGUGUCUCAGUCCCAAUGUGGCUGAUCAUCCUCUCAGACCAGCUAUGGAUCGUCGCCUUGGUAGGCCUUUACCCCACCAACUAGCUAAUCCAACGCGGGCCAAUCCUUUACCGAUAAAUCUUUCCCCCGAAGGGCACAUACGGUAUUAGCUCCAGUUUCCCGGAGUUGUUCCGUAGUAAAGGGUAUGUUCCCACGUGUUACUCACCCGUCUGCCGCUCCUCUUGCGAGGCGCUCGACUUGCAUGUGUUAAGCCUGCCGCCAGCGUUCGUUCUGAGCCAGGAUCAAACUCU
rnacentral:rRNA from 1 species